UCUCCGUAGGUGAGCCUGCGGAGGGAUCAUUACAGAGUUCUCGCCCUCGCGGGUAGAUCUCCCACCCACUGUUAUCGUUACUGUGUUGCUUUGGCGGGCCGCCGGGCCCCGCUCGGCCGCCGGCUCCGGCUGGCGCGCGCCCGCCAGAGGCCCAGCAAACUCUGAAUGUUAGUGUCGUCUGAGUACUAUAUAAUAGUUAAAACUUUCAACAACGGAUCUCUUGGUUCUGACAUCGAGAAGAACGCAGC
rnacentral:misc_RNA from 1 species